rnacentral:rRNA from 1 species
UGGGCAUAGUGAUCCGGCGGUUGCGUGUGGAAGCGCCGUCGCUCAACGGAUAAAAGGUACCCCGGGGAUAACAGGCUCAUCUUCCCCAAGAGUCCAUAUCGACGGGAAGGUUUGGCACCUCGAUGUCGGCUCAUCGCAUCCUGGGGCUGAAGCAGGUCCCAAGGGUUGGGCUGUUCGCCCAUUAAAGCGGUACGCGAGCUGGGUUUAGAACGUCGUGAGACAGUUCGGUCCCUAUCCUCUGUAGCCGAAGGUGAUUUGAGGAAAGCUGUCCCUAGUACGAGAGGACCGGGACGGACGCAGCUCUCGUGUGCCAGUUGUUCUGCCAAGGGCAUGGCUGGUUAGCGACCUGCGGAAAGGAUAACCGCUGAAAGCAUCUAAGUGGGAAGCCUGUUCCAAGAUGAGAUCACCCACCGGGACAACCGGGUAAGGCCCGUGGCAGAACACCACGUUGAUAGGCCGGAAGUGUACGCAUGGCAACAUGUUCAGCUAACCGGUACUAAUCGGCCGAGGGCUUGGUUCU